rnacentral:rRNA from 1 species
UACAGAGGGUGCUAGCGUUGUUCGGAAUCAUUGGGCGUAAAGGGCGUGUAGGCGGCCCGUUAAGACAGGUGUGAAAUUCCUGGGCUCAACCCAGGACGUGCGCCUGUGACUGGCGGGCUUGAGUCCGGGAGAGGAUGGUGGAACUCCCAGUGUAGAGGUGAAAUGCGCAGAUAUCGGGAAGAACACCCGUGGCGAAGGCGGCUCUCUGGAACGCAACUGACGCUGAGACGCGAAAGCGUGGGGAGCAAACAGG